ACGUAGGGGGCAAGCGUUGUUCGGAAUUACUGGGCGUAAAGGGCAUGUAGGCGGCCUUGUAAGCUUGGCGUGAAAGUCCACGGCUUAACCGUGGGAUUGCGUUGAGAACUGCGAGGCUUGAGUGACGGAGAGGGAGCUAGAAUUCCUGGUGUAGGGGUGGAAUCUGUAGAGAUCAGGAAGAAUACCAAUGGCGAAGGCAAGCUCCUGGCCGAUGACUGACGCUGAGGUGCGAAAGUGUGGGGAUCAAACAG
rnacentral:rRNA from 1 species